CUGACAUCUGAUGAAUGAAAAACAACGAAACUUCAAAAUGUAACGCAAAUCCGUGCAUUGUUCAAGGGAAGCGAUGUUGAAAGCUGCCGCUGCAGAUGUCCUAAAAAAUGGUCCUUCAUCCGUAGUUUAAAAUAUCAUGAAGCUUGGCGAUCAUGUUGCAAGGGAACAACCACCAGGACAACCCGCAGCGUUUUGAUAGUAUCAGAGAAGCGCCAUUUUUUGUCUACAUUGGUUGGUUUAAUAAAAAUUAAUUUAACUUG